ensembl:lncRNA Novel transcript
GAGUUCGAGAGCCGCUGGUGCUUCCCAGGCCGUCGCGCUCCUGGCCGCGCACCCAGCCAGGGACCCAGAGGCCCUCAGCCCCGGGCUCUGCGCGUACACUGAGGGCGCGGCGCAGCAGGACAGCAAGAUAAGGAAGCAGAGACUGAAGGGAGGAAUCCCCGCUUUCCGGGGAUGAUGGCGUUCGAGUUGGGUCUGUGAGGGAUGAAAUAGGAGUUGGCCAGAGGGAGAGAGGGACUCUAGGCCUCGAGAAGAGCACGUGCAGAGGUUCCGUGACACGAAAACGCCAGGUGGGUGCGGGGCUGGGAGGACAGGAGGCAGAAGGGUUUACGGCUCCACAUGGUCGCCGAAAUUUUAGGUCCCUGAGAGUAAAGGGGUGCAGCUGAUUUCAUCUAGAAAGCCCCUGGCCGGGAGGAGAGAACGAGCUUGCUUGCCUGGGGUUGCAAAGGAGUGGGUAGCUGAGACGGCCAGCACCCCAGCAUCCUGACUCAGGGCCAGACGCUUCACCCCAUUGGGCGGCGUCUGGAGGAGCAGACACAUCUCUUGUGGGUACCCUCGAAAGUGAAUCAUGGGUCGCAGGGAACUGUGGUCAAACCGUCUCUAGCUAGAUGCUAGAGAGCCAGCUCUGCAGGCUCAGGCUACUGUGAGACACGAAAGGAGGGACUCGCUGGGCACAGCCUCACCCUGGGGCAUGCCAGCAGGCCCUGCCCUCUGAGUGUUGGCAGACUUGAACAUCCCUAGGGAACGAGAGAAGUUGGGCAACGAUGGGAGAGCAGUGCAGGCCCUGGAGGUGACGAGUCUGUUGAGAUUCUGAUGGGGAUGGGUCAGAGGACGUAGAAAGCAGUGAAGGCCUAGACGCCCCCAGGUCAGUGUAGCCUGCUCUGCUUCCAGUGAGCUGGGCUCAGUCCCCCACAUGUCAUUGUCUUAGACGCCCAUGGCCUUUGCACAGGCCGAGCCUGAUGUUUGGAACAUCGUCGCCUCUAGGGGGCCUGGCUCCUAAUCAUGCAUCACCUCCUCCAGGAGAACUUUCCUGCCCCUACACUGAGUUCAAGCUUCUCAGACACCAGCCCCAGUUGAGUUCGAGUUAUAACCGUCACCAGUUAUCACACCAUCCUGUAAUCUGUGCGGUGCCCCUUAGGGCAGGACCUGGGUCCUAGAUGUCUCUGUACCUCUAGCCCCAAACCAGGCCUGACCUGUCUCUUGAAGGAGUAUUUGUGUUGAAGAUGGGUGGUAACGUUCAGCAAAAGCCAUGCCCAGGAGACAGGCACAGUACCCAUGGAGACCCAGGGCCAGCUGAUGACAGUGAUGAAUUCCCUUUAGAACUGGCGGACUCUUGGGUGCUUGGAGACACUAUAUAAAUAAGGAACUCUGGCUGUGUGCAUGGGAGAGUAUAUUAACAGGGCUUGGCCUGGCUGUGAGGUGCAGAGAUGCCGUUUCUCUCAGGUAAGGAGCCAUAUUGGGGCAGGGGUUUCCUAAUCCUUUUUUGACUCACAAAAUACACCUAGGAAAUGUUAAAUAAAUAGUCAUUUUUGAGUAGUAUAUGAUAAAGAAGUGAUUGAUUUUGACUAAAAAUAUUCAUGUUCUAUUUUUAGAAUAUGAAAGAUUGUAUUAUAAAGAUCACUUGAAAUAAAAUUUUAGAUAAUAUAUGGAGACAAAUUUCUGCUUUUUACAUUUAACUUGCUGUUUAAUGUAUCUCAAAUUAUUUAUGUAAGAGAUAUAUGAUUUGACCAAUAAAUAUAAAAAAAUGUUAUACCAUAA